UCCUCGAUAGCUCAGUCGGUAGAGCGCACGGCUGUUAACCGUUAGGUCGUAGGUUCGAGUCCUACUCGGGGAG
rnacentral:tRNA from 1 species